rnacentral:ncRNA from 1 species
GUUAUGUAUGACAAGAAGGAAUAUUAGCAACCCCCAGGAUAAGGACAAAUGUAGUCCUAUUGGCUUGUUCAACACAAGGUAAUGGUUUCU